AUCUAGAGGAGCUCGCGGCCUAUCAGCUAGUUGGUGGGGUCACGGCCCACCAAGGCGAUGACGGGUAGCUGGUCUGAGAGGAUGGCCAGCCACAUUGGGACUGAGAUACGGCCCAGACUCCUACGGGAGGCAGCAGUGGGGAAUAUUGCGCAAUGGCCGCAAGGCUGACGCAGCGACGCCGCGUGGGGGAUGAAGCAUUUCGGUGUGUAAACCCCUGUUGCUCGGGACGAACCUCUCCUUUCGAGGAGACUGACGGUACCGGGUGAGGAAGCACCGGCUAACUCCGUGCCAGCAGCCGCGGUAAUACGGAGGGUGCGAGCGUUGUCCGGAAUCACUGGGCGUAAAGGGCGCGUAGGCGGUGACUUAAGCGUGUGGUGAAAGCCCGGGGCUCAACCCCGGGUCUGCCGUGCGAACUGGGUCACUUGAGCACUGUAGAGGCAGGUGGAAUUCCGGGUGUAGCGGUGGAAUGCGUAGAGAUCCGGAAGAACACCAGUGGCGAAGGCGGCCUGCUGGGCAGUAGCUGACGCUGAGGCGCGACAGCGUGGGGAGCAAACAGGAUUAGAUACCCUGGUAGUCCACGCCGUAAACGAUGGGCACUAGGUGCUUGGGGGAACGACCCCCCGAGUGCCGGCGCUAACGCAUUAAGUGCCCCGCCUGGGGAGUACGGCCGCAAGAUUAAAACUCAAAGGAAUUGACGGGGACCCGCACAAGCGGUGGAUGAUGUGGAUUAAUUCGAUGCAACGCGAAAAACCUUACCUACCCUUGACAUGUCCAGAACCCUGCAGAGAUGCGGGGGUGCCCGAAAGGGAAUUGGAACACAGGUGCUGCAUGGCUGUCGUCAGCUCGUGUCGUGAGAUGUUGGGUUAAGUCCCGCAACGAGCGCAACCCUUAUCAUUAGUUGCUACGCAAGGGCACUCUAAUGAGACUGCCGGUGACAAACCGGAGGAAGGUGGGGAUGACGUCAAGUCCUCAUGGCCCUUAUGGGUAGGGCUUCACACGUCAUACAAUGGUCGGUACAGAGGGUUGCCAAGCCGCGAGGUGGAGCCAAUCCCAGAAAGCCGAUCGUAGUCCGGAUUGUUCUCCGCAACUCGAGAGCAUGAAGUCGGAAUCGCUAGUAAUCGCGGAUCAGCAUGUCGCGGUGAAUACGUUCCCGGGUCU
rnacentral:rRNA from 1 species